GUGAUGAUGUGUUUUAAGCGCGACGUUACCCUUUGACAAUACUUAUGUUGUCCUUUGAAAAUCUUUACAGAAAUAUUUUGUUCUGUGAAUUAAACUGGUUGGAAUUUUUUGCAGUUUUAGGUAAAAUUUUGAAUACAUCUAAAAGUUUGGCAUUUCAGGUUGUCUUUUUGUAAGACUGCUUUGUGGCAAUUACCUGUAUGUCGUUUGAUUGUCGUGUGCAUUCAGAGCUGUCUACCUCAAUCCGCAUGUGCUUUGGUCUUAGUGAUCCAUCAGGGUUAACACGUUCGGACUCCUCGUCAUUUUGUCAAGUAGUCGUGACAGUGUUCGUUGGAAUCGUUAUUGCAGUAGAAGGCAUGGCGAAGGAAAAUGUCAUCGUUCGCAACUAGAGGUCGUUAAGCAACAGGAGUAACAAAGGUCGAGAAGCCGACUGUCCCCAACCACGUCGAUCAGGAAAUGUCAGUCACAGUAAUGGGUCGGGCAGCUCGAGGGCGCCGUCCUGCCCUCAUGCCCGGACCCGAGGACCUGAGUGGCACAUGGGUUUGUUUAGACUUGUGGCUCGGGAAGCGUUUGUUCUGGGCUGAGGUCUCUUUGAGGAGUUCCGCCGUCGCUUUGGACCAUCUGCUUUCCCUGCGGUGGGGGAUGGGACAGUGACCGAGGUCGAGGCUGGGGGCCUCCCUUCCUGAGGAAGGACAGCGCCUAGUGAGCAUGAGGGUGCAUGAGGGCGUGGAGGCUCCUGUGGCUUGAAAGAUUGAGUGAGUCCGAUGAGAAAAGGUUUGAUUUCCUUUCGUGUUUAAAAGUAAUCGUGCUGGGGAGACUCGCGUCGUAACCCCUGAAGUGCACUGGGUACAGCUGGAGGCCUUUCUUCUUCAAGAACAGGGUUUUCCUUAGGGGCCAGGUCAGCCAUAGUGCCAUCAGGGCUUUCCAACUCCCCGCAAGGACUGGAGCCAGGCCCAAAAGGAAAUUAAUGAUUGUCCAGCUGGCGACAGGAUGCAUGCGUGACAGUCACUGGUGUCUUGCCUCUCUCUCCUUCCCAUACAACAAGCUGGCUGUGGCUAUAGUCAUCAUCCCUGAAGGCAGAAUAGGUGAGUUUUUGCACCCAGGUGAGCAAGAGUCAAAACCCCAGGGGAGGCUUCUAGAAGGAAGUGAGAAAUUGUUUGUUAUCUCAUGCCUCGAAAUACUUAUGCUCUGAACAGUGAUCACUUUUUGGAAGUUUUAAAUGUGCGGACUUUUCAUGUGUAUUGUGUAGUCACCGUCACCCAGCCCCUACUCCCUGUCCUUGACAACACACUGGGUGAAUGCCACACGAUGCAGUCCUUUGCUUGUCUGUUUUCAGCAGAGUGUGAGCUCCUCAAGCUUGAAGGCUGGGCACCCCCCGCCUCCCCCUCAGCACUUUGUAGAGCAGGGGUCCCCAAGUCCCUGGGCCAUGGACCAGUACCAGUCCGUGGCCCAUUAGGAACCGGGCUGCACAGCAGGAGGUGAGCGGUGGGCGAGCGAGCAAGCUUCAUCUCUAUCUGCGGCCGCUCCCCAGCGCCAGCGUCACCCCUCAGCUCCGCCUCAGAUCCUCAGGCAUUAGAUUCUCAAAGGAGCACCAGACCCAGCCUGGAGGUAAUGCCAGCUCAUGACCGUGAGGUUCCAGAGAUUGCUUCUACUUACCUGAGUCCAAUAAUUCCAUCCUCGCGCAGCCUCAGGAGGGAGGGGACAUGUAUUGUCCUUUCCAGUGUUAGAUGCGGAAGCCGCUUCACGGAGGCCAGUUGACUUGGUCAGCAGCCACUGUCUGGGGGCGCUGAGGUUUGAAGGUUUGAAGGUUUGGAUCCAGGCCGACUGGCUCCAGGGCCCAUGCAUGCUGCGCUGCUUCAGUGACCGCUGGCGGCCAGGGCUGUGAAGCCCCCGCGGUGGGGAGUGGCAGCCCGGCCGUGAUUGCUCUGUGCUUCUGGAGCUCAGGAGAUCUCACCCCCAGGUUGGAGGAAAUCGCCCUCAAAACAAAUGAAAACGAGAUGCCUUUAAAGGAAGCGUCUGUCAAAACGAUAUAAGAUUAGUAACAAGCAUUCAAGAAAUGAUAGUUCUCAAAGCGUUUGAAGACGGGGUACCACAGGGACGAGGAGUGACGGAAUCACCUGUGUGUCAGACGCAGGAACGUUGCCUGCUAGGGCUCUCCAGGUGUCUGGUCCCCUCGUGCAAGGGGCUCCAGGUCCGCUGCCUUUGCUCAUUAAUUGCUCUUCUGGAGAAUCUGGGAGGAGCUGGAGGGCGGGUCGGUAAUGAACUGUCGCCUGGUGUCACGUGGCUUUCGUAGAGCUUGAUGCCCGUGGUUUCCUUCAUCUCAGAAUCUGUAGUUUUAAGUGUCUUGACUAUUUAUUCGAUAAUUUUUUUAAUCGGUUUCUUAAUCCAUGAUCUAAUCUAUCGUUUUGAAUUAGACCAUCUUUAUCUAAAGAAAUAAUACUAAAGAAAAUGAGUUUCAUCUGCUUAACUCCAGCUCGAGUUACGCUGGCAAGGCCAGCCUUCCCAGAGGAUUUACGUAGAUGUGAGAGAGAGAGGGGCUCGCUUAAAUCGAGGAAGGGCAGCAAAAAUUAAGGGCACUUGGGCGCAGACACUAGAAGGUUAUUGCGUUUCAUUAAAUAUCAGACACAUCUGAUUUCAAAGAUGUAAAAAUGGGGCGAAAUGUGCUCCUUAGAGUCAAUGGAAUCUGGUAGUUGUAACCUUAUCAGUCAGAGUCAUUCUUUGUAGGAGGAGGGAGAUUUUCUCUGUGGGGCUUCCUGGAAGACAGCUGGGUUCUUGGACUCGUGUCCGCCUUCGCUCUGUUACAGCUGUUUUAUCGAAGUACAUGAGUGAGAUUCGACCUCAGACUUCCACUGAGAUAUUUGAAAGGGAGGAGAGAUUUAGUCGCCGUUCCAUAUGGCCGUGGGCUUUCUUCUUAGCACUGCAACCAAACUGGACGUGGUCUCUUCAGGUUAAGUCACACUUUGGAACCUGAAACAGUAUCCGUUUGAUCCCAUUCUUAGUUCUGUCCUGUGCUCUGGAUGGAUCUCUUGCUCCUGUAGUGAUUUGGUAACGUUACACCUGGGUCAGCUGGUCAUAUUAUACGCGGAGUUACUCAGAUCUUUUAAAUGCUGAUACGUUCCAUUAUACGAGAUCAAAGAAAAUCGCUAAUCUCACCACUGAUCAGAAAAUCUUCAAGUGCGGAGUUGUCAAACUAACAGUAAUACAUACAGAUUUUCCAAAAUUCUGGUUUUCUCUCGAGAGCUUGGCUUGGAUCACUGGCAGUAAACACUGUCGGCUGUUCUGGGAAGUGAGAGGCCCACUCUGUUGACAUUUGAGAAAGUCUCUGCAGACACCAAUCAGAACAACGUAGCAGGUCAGCUGUUUUUUCACAUAAAAACAGCCUGCAUGAAAAGUGGCUCUUCGAGCUUGCAGGGCAAACAGCUGUACAUGUGCUUUCCCUCGAGACGGUCACUGGACACGGGGGCAGCAGGCGUGCUCGCUCUGCGCAUGCUGCGCGUCUACCACAAAGAAUUUGAAAAAGACUCCUGCCAGAGGGUGGGGGCUGAGUGACAGAAAUUCGUUUGGCUGCUCGUCCAGGGCGCCCCGAAGUCAGCCGCCCCCCCCGCACGUGCGCACAGCCGCGGUUUGUGCUGCGGCACCCGCAGUUUGCACUGUCGUCGCUUUCGCCCAUCCAUCCAGAUGAAAACAGCACAAACGGCCCGUGAUGCGUUAGUGUUGUUCUGGAAGUGGCUUUGACCUUCUGGGCCGCCGAGAGGUUCUCAGGGACCCCGAGGGGCCCACAGAGCACGCUUUGAAAAACAGCACUUUAAAGCCGGCUCCUAGCAACCAGAAUAGCAGAACAGGGCAGACUUCGGCACUCACUGUGCCCUCUCAUCUUUACUGGAUUUUAUUUCAAAAUGCAGAUGCAGAGCAUUCAUUAUUUUAAGAAAAUCAAAUGAUAGAUACAUAAAGAGUAACCGUGAAAGUCGCCGUUCACUCCCCUCUGCCGUCCUGGCGUCCGCCCCAGAGGAGGACUCCAAGCCGUGUGUGUGUCUUUAGACCAUUUCUUAUGUGUUCACCUACUGACUUUUAUUUUAAAUGUAGUGUAUAAGCAGAAAGGUUUUUCUUUUUAUUUCUUACAAAACAUGAAUCCUACCAUAAAUAUUGUUUUGCAACUUGCAAUUCUGCAUCACUGGUCUGAAACCUGAGCUCUCACGGUGACCUGGCAUCUGCUGAGCUGUGCACGUGCUUGAGCCCCUUGGACCCUGGCCACAAGCCCGAGUCUACGUCAUCUCGACUGUUGAACUGAAUCACUUCGGAGAUCUCCUUGCAACAGGGGACAAGGGCGGCGGCGUUGUUAUUUUUCAGUGGAACGAGAGGGCUUAAAACCAUGGCCCCUGCAUCCGCUUUACUCUCUUGAGCCCUGGCAUCUUUAAUCAUUCUUCUGGAUGAAGUCGGAGUGGUGCCGAGGAGGGAGGACCCCGCGUCCGGCCCCCAGAGCUCCUGCUGCGAGCAGUUUGACGCGCAGCCUCCCGGCUAUUCCUGUCUCCGAGAGCAGGUGCGUGUGUUCAAAGCACCGGCUCGUCCUCUGCACGGCGAUAGUGAAGCUCCCAGUACCAGGGAGGGGCAGGAGGCCCCAGUGCAGCGCGGCGACCUCUGUGACCCGCACUCGGUGUCUGUAAGCCUUUCCCUUCCCCUGGAGAGUUGAGGCACGGGAAUGCGCCUCUCGGGGUUCCCGUACGAACUGGGAGAGCGUGGGCGUGAAGCCGCUGGCCCAGCGCAGUGCGUGGCGGCGAGCCCUGCCCGAGGCUGCUGCUCCUUAACGCACCGUGACCCCCUUCCAUUCCGGCAGGGCACGGACUCGUAACCGCAGUCACAGUGCACGUGUCCCUUGGUGUACGUGCCACUCUAUUCAGUUCAUGGCCAUCUUUGUGAGUUUGCUUACUGCCCUUUGCUUUUUCUCCCACUCGAAGCUCCCGUUUUCCUUAGUGAUUUGUGAAAACUCUAAAACACGAAGGGUUCGUUUAUGCGGCCAUUUCUUUCGUUGCCUUUUAAAAAGGUUUGUCCCACGAUCACGCAUGCUUUAGAUGCUUUUCCUUGUGACAGGUUACGUAAACAUAAACACUUUUAUUUUCUUA